AUACCUUUCUCGGCCUUUUGGCUAAGAUCAAGUGUAAUAUCUGUUCUUAUCAGUUUAAUACUGAUAUGUGACCCAUUGGGUCACACAAUAUUAAAUUACCUUUUUGAGGGGGAGAAGCCACUUCAAUAGCUUGCUAUUGGGCUUCUCAAGUGUCACUUAUGCGUUGCACUAUUGCAUAAGCUUGGCGCACCCCAC
rnacentral:snRNA from 2 species